UACAGAGGGGGCAAGCGUUGUUCGGAAUUACUGGGCGUAAAGGGCGCGUAGGCGGCCCGCUCAGUCGAACGUGAAAUCCCCGAGCUCAACUCGGGAACUGCGUCCGAUACUGGUGGGCUUGAAUCCGGGAGAGGGAUGCGGAAUUCCAGGUGUAGCGGUGAAAUGCGUAGAUAUCUGGAGGAACACCGGUGGCGAAGGCGGCAUCCUGGACCGGCACUGACACUGAGGCACGAAAGCGUGGGGAGCAAACAGG
rnacentral:rRNA from 1 species